ACUUAAGCAUAUCAAUAAGCGGAGGAAAAGAAACUAACAAGGAUUCCCCUAGUAACUGCGAGUGAAGCGGGAAAAGCUCAAAUUUAAAAUCUGGCAGCUUUGGCUGUCCGAGUUGUAGUCUGGAGAAGCGUUUUCUGUGCUGGACCGUGUACAAGUCUCUUGGAACAGAGCGUCGUAGAGGGUGAGAAUCCCGUCUUUGACACGGACUCCCAGUGCUUUGUGAUGCGCUCUCAAAGAGUCGAGUUGUUUGGGAAUGCAGCUCAAAAUGGGUGGUAAAUUCCAUCUAAAGCUAAAUAUUGGCGAGAGACCGAUAGCGAACAAGUACCGUGAGGGAAAGAUGAAAAGCACUUUGGAAAGAGAGUUAAACAGUACGUGAAAUUGCUGAAAGGGAAACGAUUGAAGUCAGUCGCGUCGGCCAGAACUCAGCCUGGCUUUUGCCUGGUGCAUUUUCUGGUUGACGGGCCAGCAUCAAUUUUGAUCGCUGGAUAAAGGCCUUGGGAAUGUGGCACCUUCGGGUGUGUUAUAGCCCUUGGUUGUAUACAGUGGUUGGGAUUGAGGAUCACAGCAUGCCUUUAUGGCCGGGGUUCGCCCACGUUCAUGCUUAGGAUGCUGGCGUAAUGGCUUUAAACGACCCGUCUUGAAACACGGACCAAGGAGUCUAACAUGCCUGCGAGUGUUUGGGUGGAAAACCCGAGCGCGCAAUGAAAGUGAAAGUUGGGAUCCCUGUCGCGGGGAGCACCGACGCCCGGACCAGACCUUUUGUGACGGAUCCGCGGUAGAGCAUGUAUGUUGGGACCCGAAAGAUGGUGAACUAUGCCUGAAUAGGGUGAAGCCAGAGGAAACUCUGGUGGAGGCUCGUAGCGAUUCUGACGUGCAAAUCGAUCGUCAAAUUUGGGUAUAGGGGCGAAAGACUAAUCGAACCAUCUAGUAGCUGGUUCCUGCCGAAGUUUCCCUCAGGA
rnacentral:rRNA from 1 species